rnacentral:rRNA from 1 species
UACGAAGGGGGCUAGCGUUGCUCGGAAUCACUGGGCGUAAAGGGUGCGUAGGCGGGUCUUUAAGUCAGGGGUGAAAUCCUGGAGCUCAACUCCAGAACUGCCUUUGAUACUGAAGAUCUUGAGUUCGGGAGAGGUGAGUGGAACUCCGAGUGUAGAGGUGAAAUUCGUAGAUAUUGGGAAGAACACCGAUGGCGAAGGCAGCCAUCUGGACCGACGCUGACGCUGAGGCGCGAAAGCGUGGGGAGCAAACAGG